rnacentral:rRNA from 1 species
AUUGAACGCUGGCGGAAUGCUUUACACAUGCAAGUCGAACGGUAGAGGGGCAACCCUUGAGAGUGGCGGACGGGUGAGUAAUGUAUCGGAACGUGCCCAGUCGUGGGGGAUAACGUAGCGAAAGUUACGCUAAUACCGCAUACGAUCUAUGGAUGAAAGCGGGGGAUCGCAAGACCUCGCGCGAUUGGAGUGGCCGAUAUCAGAUUAGGUAGUUGGUGGGGUAAAGGCCUACCAAGCCGACGAUCUGUAGCUGGUCUGAGAGGACGACCAGCCACACUGGGACGGAGACACGGCCCAGACUCCUACGGGAGGCAGCAGUGGGGAAUUUUGGACAAUGGGCGCAAGCCUGAUCCAGCCAUUCCGCGUGCGGGAAGAAGGCCUUCGGGUUGUAAACUGCUUUUGUACGGAACGAAACGCGCUGAGCUAAUACCUCGGCGUAAUGACGGUACCGUAAGAAUAAGCACCGGCUAACUACGUGCCAGCAGCCGCCGUAA